GGCUGGGUAGCUCAGUUGGUUAGAGCAUCGUCCUGAUACGCCAAAGUUGUGGGUUCAAUUCCCCAGUCA
rnacentral:tRNA from 1 species